UACGGAGGAUGCGAGCGUUAUCCGGAUUUAUUGGGUUUAAAGGGUGCGUAGGCGGGCUUUUAAGUCAGCGGUAAAAGUUCGGGACUCAACCCCGUCCGGCCGUUGAAACUGGGGGUCUUGAGUGGGCGAGAAGAAGGCGGAAUGCGUGGUGUAGCGGUGAAAUGCAUAGAUAUCACGCAGAACCCCGAUUGCGAAGGCAGCCUUCCGGCGCCCUACUGACGCUGAGGCACGAAAGUGCGGGGAUCGAACAGG
rnacentral:rRNA from 1 species